rnacentral:rRNA from 1 species
ACAUGCAAGUCGAGGGGCAGCGAGUCUAGCAAUAGAUGUCGGCGACCGGCGCGCGGGUGCGUAACACGUAUACAAUCUGCCUUUAACUGGGGGAUAGCCCGGAGAAAUCCGGAUUAAUACCCCAUAACAAUAGAACAAGCAUUUGUUUUAUUUAAAAGCUCCGGCGGUUAGAGAUGAGUAUGCGUCUGAUUAGCUAGGUGGUGAGGUAACGGCUCACCAAGGCGACGAUCAGUAGGGGAUCUGAGAGGAUUAACCCCCACACGGAUACUGAGACACGGAUCCGACUCCUACGGGAGGCAGCAGUAAGGAAUAUUGGACAAUGCCCGCAAGGGUGAUCCAGCCAUGCCGCGUGCAGGAAGACGGCCCUAUGGGUUGUAAACUGCUUUUACACCGGAGAAAACCUCCCCUCGUGAGGGGAGCUGAUAGUAUGGUGAGAAUAAGCAUCGGCUAACUUCGUGCCAGCAGCCGCGGUAAGACGAAGGAUGCAAGCGUUAUCCGGAUUCAUUGGGUUUAAAGGGAGCGUAGGUGGCCUUAUAAGUCAGUGGUGAAAUCUUCGAGCUUAACUCGGAAAUUGCCAUUGAUACUGUAGGGCUUGAGUACAGUUGCUGUGGGCGGAAUAUGACAUGUAGUGGUGAAAUACAUAGAGAUGUCAUAGAACACCGAUUGCGAAGGCAGCUCACAAAACUGUAACUGACACUGAGGCUCGAAAGUGCGGGGAUCAAACAGGAUUAGAUACCCUGGUAGUCCGCACUGUAAACGAUGAUUACUCGCUGCUGGGAGGUAACUUUCAGUGGCUUAGCGAAAGCGAUAAGUAAUCCACCUGGGGAGUACGCCGGCAACGGUGAAACUCAAAGGAAUUGACGGGGGCCCGCACAAGCGGAGGAGCAUGUGGUUUAAUUCGAUGAUACGCGAGGAACCUUACCAGGGCUUGAAAGUUAGUGACCGCUCCUGAAAGGAGCUUUCCGCAAGGACACGAAACUA